AUUGAACGCUGGCGGCAGGCCUAACACAUGCAAGUCGAGCGGAUGACGGGAGCUUGCUCCUUGAUUCAGCGGCGGACGGGUGAGUAAUGCCUAGGAAUCUGCCUGGUAGUGGGGGACAACGUUUCGAAAGGAACGCUAAUACCGCAUACGUCCUACGGGAGAAAGCAGGGGACCUUCGGGCCUUGCGCUAUCAGAUGAGCCUAAGUCGGAUUAGCUAGUAGGUGAGGUAGUGGCUCACCUAGGCGACGAUCCGUAACUGGUCUGAGAGGAUGAUCAGUCACACUGGAACUGAGACACGGUCCAGACUCCUACGGGAGGCAGCAGUGGGGAAUAUUGGACAAUGGGCGAAAGCCUGAUCCAGCCAUGCCGCGUGUGUGAAGAAGGUCUUCGGAUUGUAAAGCACUUUAAGUUGGGAGGAAGGGCAGUAAGUUAAUACCUUGCUGUUUUGACGUUACCGACAGAAUAAGCACCGGCUAACUCUGUGCCAGCCGCCGCAGUAA
rnacentral:rRNA from 1 species